GUCGGGUUAGCCUAAGUGGUUAGAGCAUUCGCCUCCGAUGCGGGAUUUCGCGGGUUCGAAACUCGUCUGAGUCAUACCAGACU